GAUGAACGCUGGCGGCGUGCCUAAUACAUGCAAGUCGAGCGAAUGGAUUAAGAGCUUGCUCUUAUGAAGUUAGCGGCGGACGGGUGAGUAACACGUGGGUAACCUGCCCAUAAGACUGGGAUAACUCCGGGAAACCGGGGCUAAUACCGGAUAACAUUUUGAACCGCAUGGUUCGAAAUUGAAAGGCGGCUUCGGCUGUCACUUAUGGAUGGACCCGCGUCGCAUUAGCUAGUUGGUGAGGUAACGGCUCACCAAGGCAACGAUGCGUAGCCGACCUGGGAGGGGGAUCGGCCACACUGGGACUGAGACACGGCCCAGACUCCUACGGGAGGCAGCAGUAGGGAAUCUUCCGCAAUGGACGAAAGUCUGACGGAGCAACGCCGCGUGGGUGACGAAGGCUUUCGGGUCGUAAAACUCUGUUGUUAGGGAAGAACAAGUGCUAGUUGAAUAAGCUGGCACCUUGACGGUACCUAACCAGAAAGCCACGGCUAACUACGUGCCAGCCGCCGCCGUAA
rnacentral:rRNA from 1 species